rnacentral:rRNA from 1 species
AUUAAACGCUGGCGGCAUGCCUUACACAUGCAAGUCGAACGGCAGCAUGGGUGCUUGCACCUGAUGGCGAGUGGCGGACGGGUGAGUAAUACAUCGGAACGUACCUUGGAGUGGGGGAUAACGUAGCGAAAGUUACGCUAAUACCGCAAAUUCUGUGAGCAGGAAAGCGGGGGAUCGCAAGACCUUGCGCUGAUUGAGCGGCCGAUAUCAGAUUAGCUAGUUGGUGAGGUAAAGGCUCACCAAGGCGACGAUCUGUAGCGGGUCUGAGAGGAUGAUCCGCCACACUGGAACUGAGACACGGUCCAGACUCCUACGGGAGGCAGCAGUGGGGAAUUUUGGACAAUGGGCGCAAGCCUGAUCCAGCCAUGCCGCGUGAGUGAAGAAGGCCUCGG